rnacentral:rRNA from 1 species
GCCCAUUAGCUAGCUUAAAUUAGACCCAAAAACAACAAACCAUAUUAAUAACCCCACAACCACUGUACCCCAUAAAACAAAUCAUUUUCCCCUCCUAGUAUGUGCGACAGAAAAGAGACACUAUAAGCAAUAGAAAGAGUACCGUAAGGGAACGCUGAAAGAGAAAUGAAACAACUCAGUAAAGCAUAAAAAAGCAAAGAUUUUAACUUGUACCUU